CCUACGGGUGGCAGCAGUGAGGAAUAUUGGUCAAUGGCCGGAAGGCUGAACCAGCCAUGCCGCGUGAAGGACAGAGUCCUACGGGAGUUAAACUUCUAUUGUGCGGGAGCAAUAAUGGUCACGUGUGGCCAGACGACAGUACCGUACGAAUAAGCAGCGGCUAACUCCGUGCCAGCAGCCGCGGUGAUACGGGGGAUGAAAGCGUUAUCCGGAUUUCUUGGGUGUAAAGGGUGCGUAGGCUGUGAGGUAAGUCAGCGGUCAAAUGCCCCCGCUCAACGGGGUGAAGUGCCAUUGAUACUGUCUUGCUGGAGUGCAGGUGACGUGAGAGGAAUGUGUGGUGUAGCGGUGAAAUGCGUAGAUAUCA
rnacentral:rRNA from 1 species